rnacentral:rRNA from 1 species
UAAGGAAUAUUGGACAAUGGAGGCAACUCUGAUCCAGCCAUGCCGCGUGAAGGAAUAAGGCCCUAUGGGUUGUAAACUUCUUUUAGACGGGACAAAACCCCUUUACGUGUAAAGGGUUGAUGGUACUGUCAGAAUAAGCAUCGGCUAACUUCGUGCCAGCAGCCGCGGUAAUACGAAGGAUGCAAGCGUUAUCCGGAAUCAUUGGGUUUAAAGGGUGCGUAGGCGGACUAAUAAGUCAGUGGUGAAAGCCUGCAGCUUAACUGCAGAAAUGCCAUUGAUACUGUUAGUCUUGAGUACAGUUGAGUUAGGCGGAAUGUGUCAUGUAGCGGUGAAGUGCUUAGGUGUGACACAGAACACCGAUUGGGAAGGCAGCUUGCUAAGCUGUAACUGACGCUGAGGCACGAAAGCGUGGGGAGCAAACA